CAGAUGAAGACACUGAGGUCCUGAGAGGUGAUGUCAUGUGUUCAAGAUUUCCCAGCUAGAAGUGUGAAAUUGGCGUGAAGCCACCAAGUGUUUCCUUUGGGCAAAUGGAUCCACAUUGGAAAACUUGGAGCUGGUGACCAUGCCUCUUGCGCCUGAGUCCAAACUCUGAUGAAAGGAAUUCCAUGCAGCCGCUCAACAGGUCUCUCUGCUGUCAUCCCAGCCCCUGUCUUCUGCUGUCCCCUCAACACUCAGAGGAGAACUUUUACUGAAGCCAUUUCCCUUCCUGGGAAUGCGUCUUUCCUUUGUGUGACCAGCUUCUUCUCAUCCUUGAGUUUCAUGCCUUGCGCCACCCGCCUCAGAGAGACUCUUGUCCCUCUUGCAUACGUCCCUCUCCUCGACAAGUUACUACAAUGUGUUGUCUCCUUCCUUCCUAGAGCUUAUUCCAGUCUGUAUAUUAUCUUAUUUAUUUGUUUUUUUGUUACUUCUCUCAGGCCCGUUCCUCCAAGGAAUUGCAUACACCGAAAGUUGGUCUCAUUCAUCUGUGACCCUAGGGGCUGGGCUGGUGCCUGGUGUACCGUUCAAUUAAUAUUUGUUGAACCAAUGAAUGGAUCCAGAGGCUACUCAAUAAUUAGUGGUCUUCAUUUCCUUCUCUCUUCUCAGCAGCCGUCGCCAGGCACACACACUGGCACACACAACGUGAAGGAACUUGAAUUAGGACAAUGGAACAGCAGCUGAGUGGAUGUGUCUAGUCUGUAUCAGAAAAACUGGCUAGCUACUGUUCUCUGUUUUGUUUUCCUUAACUUCAACAAGUUCUUUGGCCUCUGAGCAUCUUCUGGCCUGGGUCUAAGAUUCACGAAGAAGGGGAGUUUGCAUGAAGGCUGAUAGAAUAGGAUAUAUUUACACAAAGAGCACACGACUUGGAUAGACCAUUCCCAGGAGACACCUAUUGUCUGUUGGCUAGGACAGCAAAAUGAUUCUUGAAGAGAUUCCGAUACAUUUUAUAAGAGGGUUGGAACCAAACAGGGAUGUUUUUGGACCCAUAUAUUCCUCCUGUGCUGUUUGUCCUGCCACAGGGCUACAAGUCACCCUAAGUCCCUCCCAGGCGUGGAGCCCAGGCCACUGCUGACUCCAGCCUCCCAGAGCUCACUGGGCAGCAUCCGGGCCGCCUGGUGCCGGAAGCAGCCAGAGGAGAAAGCCGGGGGAAUGACAGAUAUCUCAUGAUCCCCAAGACAGGGGAGGAAACUGAGGCUGAGAGAGGUCAUGUCACUUGCUCAGAGCCACUUGCCUGGUGAGCAGCGGAACCUGCAUCAGGACCCAGCGUUACAGCUCACUGCCCUUAAUCUCACCCCCUGUGGCUCCUCACCUUCCUGCUCUUAAAGGAGUCUGGCUGCAGAGCUCUGACGGCUCCUCCUGGGUCCUGUGCUGCCUCCAGUCCCCCUGAGAUCGCCCCUUCUCUAGUUUUUACAUACAAUUUAAGGGGUCCUGGGCUUUGUGAGCUCCUAGCCAUUUUAGCCCCAGGGGUUCCAUUAACUCCCCUCCCGUGCAGGGAUGAGCAGGGAGGGGGCUGCCCUGCCUGGAGCCCUGUUUCAGCCUCAGGCUGGGAGCAGACCCACCCUCACCCUGGGGGUUCCGGGGGCUCAUCUCCCUCCAGGUUUUAUUGCUUUAAACAAGGAUUGAAAGGAAUUGUUUACAGGCCUGGGAGGAGCAAUAAAGUUUGCAAGCAUUU